rnacentral:rRNA from 1 species
AUUGAACGCUGGCGGCAUGCUUUACACAUGCAAGUCGAACGGCAGCACGGGUGCUUGCACCUGGUGGCGAGUGGCGAACGGGUGAGUAAUAUAUCGGAACGUAUCCAAUAAUGGGGGAUAACUAAUCGAAAGGUUGGCUAAUACCGCAUACGCCCUACGGGGGAAAGCUAGGGACCUUCGGGCCUGGCGUUAAUGGAGCGGCCGAUAUCUGAUUAGCUAGUUGGUGGGGUAAUGGCCUACCAAGGCGACGAUCAGUAGCUGGUCUGAGAGGACGACCAGCCACACUGGAACUGAGACACGGUCCAGACUCCUACGGGAGGCAGCAGUGGGGAAUUUUGGACAAUGGGCGCAAGCCUGAUCCAGCCAUUCCGCGUGAGUGAAGAAGGCCUUCGGGUUGUAAAGCUCUUUCGCAAGGGAAGAAAACUUAUCCUCUAACAUAGGAUGAGGUUGACGGUACCUUGAUAAGAAGCACCGGCUAACUACGUGCCAGCAGCCGCCGUAA